rnacentral:rRNA from 1 species
GUGAGGAAUUUUCCGCAAUGGGCGAAAGCCUGACGGAGCAAUGCCGCGUGAAGGAUGAAGGCCUAUGGGUUGUAAACUUCUUUUCUCAGAAAAGAAUUAUGACGGUAUCUGAGGAAUAAGCAUCGGCUAACUCUGUGCCAGCAGCCGCGGUAAGACAGAGGAUGCAAGCGUUAUCCGGAAUGAUUGGGCGUAAAGCGUCAGUAGGUUGUUUAAAAAGUAUUCUGUCAAAGAUUAGGGCUUAACCCUAGAUAGGCAGAAUAAACUUUUAAGCUAGAUGUUGGUAGAGGGAGAGGGAAUUCCCGGUGGAGCGGUGAAAUGCGUCGAUAUCGUGAGGAACACCAAAGGCGAAGGCACUCUGCUGGGCCAAUACUAACACUGAGAGACGAAAGCGAGGGGAGCAAAUGGGAUUAGAUACCCGGGUAGUCC